rnacentral:rRNA from 1 species
UAGGGAAUCUUCCGCAAUGGACGCAAGUCUGACGGAGCAACGCCGCGUGAGUGAAGAAGGAUUUCGGUUCGUAAAACUCUGUUGUUAGAGAAGAACAGCGCAUAGAGUAACUGUUAUGCGUGUGACGGUAUCUAACCAGAAAGCCACGGCUAACUACGUGCCAGCAGCCGCGGUAAUACGUAGGUGGCAAGCGUUGUCCGGAUUUAUUGGGCGUAAAGCGAGCGCAGGCGGUCAAUUAAGUCUGAUGUGAAAGCCCCCGGCUCAACCGGGAAGGGUCAUUGGAAACUGGUUGACUUGAGUGCAGAAGAGGAGAGUGGAAUUCCAUGUGUAGCGGUGAAAUGCGUAGAUAUAUGGUGGAACACCAGUGGCGAAGGCGACUCUCUAGUCUGUAACUGACGCUGAGGCUCGAAAGCGUGGGUAGCAAACAGG